rnacentral:sRNA from 1 species
UUAUAAAUACAUAGCACCCUCUCACACA